GAGAAAAGAGUCGUGUGGCCGUCGUGCCUACUGUUACUGUAAACUAUUUUGUUCAAAAUCAUUGUAUUCUACUGAUUCUACUAAAAUAUGCCAUCGAAAUGAUACAGGAUUCAUCAUAAUUAAUACCUGUUGUUUGUAUUGGAGUAAUUCGACUUGCUAGAUCACCAGCCCCAGCAUGGACCAUUAUCUCAUUCCAUCUUCUAGAGAACCUUGGAUAACUGAUUGCUGGUUUCAUGUGUUCUAAACUACAGGUUUCUAAAUUGGCAUGACAGACUUUAUGAGAAGUCAUGUUGGUAUCGUCGUGUUCUUUCAAGAAAAAGGACAAGGACUAUUCAGUCAACAAAGUUCCUUGUUAGUUGUUUGCUAACCUGUUGGCUGCUACCCUUGAAUCUCCCUUUUUACUUCCUUUACAUGGCCCUCUUGAUUUGAGGGUAAUCUUUCGCUACUUGGCAUGGACUUCAUCUUCAUUCACUCGUGAAAAUCAACAAGAGAAUGCUGUAAUUCAAGACUGAUAAAUUGUGUAGUUGUUAGAUAAAUUUCAAGUCAUAUCUGGGCUUCCUUCUUUUCUGUGGCGGCCCCGUUCUAUCGCUCUCGUAAUUAUGUUCCUCAACCCCCUGCCUUGAUUAGCUGCCUGCAAGUCCUUAUAGAUCAAUUCUGGUUGUUGGAUUGCCUAAUUCCGCAUCCAGAAUGUAACUAUAUUGAACUUGCAAAUAAAGACAAGGUUUGAACCGGA